UUUACAGAGUACUUCUUCUAACCCUAACGCUUGAUGGCUUCCUGUACGGUAUUUAUACUGUUUUGUUUUAAGCUUUCAGUAUAUUACAGGAAGUUUUCCGCGGUUCCGAUGCGUAUAAAAAAAGCUAUAGAGUACUCUGAUGCUCGGUCUCACAGGUUUGUGUGUUUGCGCGCGGACAGUCCGACUGCCGCGAAGAGUUCACCUCUGCUGCACGUGCGUCGGAUCUGUGGGCGUUCAGCACGCUGAGCAGAGCAAAUUGAGCAUGGCCAACUUUUGCGGAUCUCUACACUGAUCCUGCAAAUAAGCCUGAGCUCAGACACUC
rnacentral:telomerase_RNA from 1 species